rnacentral:tRNA from 4 species
GCCCUGCUAGCUCAACUGGAUAGAGCAGCCGCCUUCUAAGCGGCAGGUGGACCUUCGACUGGUCCGCAGGGCGCCA